AAUGGGGUUGCUGGGUCAUAUGGUAAGUGUAUGUCUAACUUUAUAAGAAACUACCAAACUGUUUUCCAGAGUGGCUGUACUGCUUUACGUUCCCAACAGCAAC
rnacentral:pre_miRNA from 1 species